rnacentral:rRNA from 1 species
GUGGGGAAUAUUGGGCAAUGGGGGAAACCCUGACCCAGCAACGCCGCGUGAGGGAAGAAGGUUUUCGGAUUGUAAACCUCUGUCCUUGGUGAUGAAGGAAGUGACGGUAACCAAGGAGGAAGCCCCGGCUAACUACGUGCCAGCAGCCGCGGUAAUACGUAGGGGGCAAGCGUUGUCCGGAAUGGCUGGGCGUAAAGGGCGUGUAGGCGGCCGAUUAAGUCUGGAGUGAAAGUCCUGCUUUCAAGGUGGGAAUUGCUUUGGAGACUGGUUGGCUUGAGUGCGGAAGAGGUAAGUGGAAUUCCCAGUGUAGCGGUGAAAUGCGUAGAGAUUGGGAGGAACACCAGUGGCGAAGGCGACUUACUGGGCCGUAACUGACGCUGAGGCGCGAAAGCGUGGGGAGCGAACAGGAUUAGAUACCCUUGUAGUCC